rnacentral:tRNA from 1 species
GAGGGUACAGCUCAGUGGUAGAGUAUGUGCUUAACAUGCACAAGGUCCUGGGUUUGAUCCCCAGUAUCUCUG